GACGUAGGAGGCGAGCGUUGUUCGGAUUCACUGGGCGUAAAGGGUGCGUAGGUGGUAGGGUAAGUUUGGUGUGAAAUCUCCGAGCUUAACUCGGAAAUGGCAUUGAAUACUAUUCAACUAGAGGUUUGGAGGGGGGGACUGGAAUUCUCGGUGUAGCAGUGAAAUGCGUAGAUAUCGAGAGGAACAACCAGUGGCGAAGGCGAGUCCCUGGACAACACCUGACACUGAGGCACGAAAGCUAGGGGAGCAAACAGG
rnacentral:rRNA from 1 species